UAAAAAAUAAAAUGUAUUCCAAUCAUUAUUUAUAAUAACUUUAUUCAUUAAACUUGUGUGAAACAUAAUAAUAGCAAUUAUAUGCAGAGUGAUAUUUGAUACAGCCAGUCUGUUAAUCAAGCCCAUUCUGAUAAGGUUGACCAUGUGUUCGACAAAUUUCAAAGAUAGUUGCUAUGGUAAUUAAGUUUAUAGGAAAUCUGAAUGUAAUGGGAUGGUCACUUUUGUGAUUAUUUCCUGUUGUGUAUUUGUAAGAAAGCAGUGAUACGAAGAAAACAAAAAGAGAAAAUCAUGUCAUCUGGGAUUCAAAGAGAAAGAUAGUAACAUAUUCGGUUAGAAAAAAAACAUAGCUGCAAAGAGUCUUCGGAUAAGGAGAUGGAUGAUGCAGCUAAAGAUUGGCGGCGCUUAAGCCUUGACAGAGAAGGUAGCAAGAAACAGAGAAGGGAAAAACGAAUAACAUAUAUAAAUAAUAAUGACACUGUUGAAGUUUAAAUUGAGGAGGACACUACUCGUGGUGACGACCAAUGAUAUCAAAUUUAAAAUAAAUAAAGUUUCAUCUUC